GGGGAAUAUUGCGCAAUGGGCGAAAGCCUGACGCAGCGACGCCGCGUGGGGGAUGAAGGCCUUCGGGUUGUAAACCCCUUUCAGCAGGGACGAAGCGAACGUGACGGUACCUGCAGAAGAAGCGCCGGCUAACUACGUGCCAGCAGCCGCGGUAACACGUAGGGCGCAAGCGUUGUCCGGAAUUAUUGGGCGUAAAGAGCUCGUAGGCGGUCUGUUGCGUCCGCUGUGAAAACUCGGGGCUUAACCCCGAGCCUGCAGUGGAUACGGGCAGACUAGAGGUAGGUAGGGGUGACUGGAAUUCCUGGUGUAGCGGUGGAAUGCGCAGAUAUCAGGAGGAACACCGAUGGCGAAGGCAGGUCACUGGGCCGCAACUGACGCUGAGGAGCGAAAGCAUGGGGAGCGAACA
rnacentral:rRNA from 1 species